UACGUAGGGGGCAAGCGUUGUCCGGAUUUAUUGGGCGUAAAGAGCGUGUAGGCGGCUUGGUAGGUCCGCUGUGAAAACUCGAGGCUCAACCUCGAGAUGUCGGCGGAAACCACUUGGCUAGAGUCCGGAAGAGGAGAGUGGAAUUCCCGGUGUAGCGGUGAAAUGCGCAGAUAUCGGGAAGAACACCUAUGGCGAAGGCAGCUCUCUGGGGACGGUACUGACGCUGAGACGCGAAAAGCGUGGGGGAGGCGAAACAGG
rnacentral:rRNA from 1 species